GUGAAGUGUAUUUGAAUGCCUGAUAUAUUUGGAAUUUUAUUGCACUUCAAAGUGAGGGUUGAAGAGGGAGGACAUGUAUGUCCCUGUGGCAUUCGGGGGGUUUAGUUUUACGCCGCACUCAGCAAUAUUCCAG